AAAAACAAACCAACAAAAAAAAAAAGGCACGCAAGUUCUAGCAAACACUAGAGUGGCAUUCAAAAAUUAAAAUUACUAAACAGAAUUCAAGAAAACCCAGAUCAAUUAGAUUCUUGGAGAGGCAGAAAUAGAAAUUGGUGUGGUUGAAUAACCACAUAGGGUUUAUGAUAAACCCUAAAUGAAGAUGAAAUUUUCAGGGUUUAAAGAUUAGAGUAGAUGUAGAGUGAAGUCGCGGAAAAUAUUUGGAGGGAAAAUGGAGGAAGAUUGAAAAAUCCUUGGGUUGGGUUGUGAACUGAGUGGAAGAUCGAGUCCAGAGAGG
rnacentral:misc_RNA from 1 species